AUCGCUUCUCGGCCUUUUGGCUAAGAUCAAGUGUUCUUAUCAGUUUUUUUUAACCUGAAGAGAUUUCAAUAGGAAUUAAAAAAAUUUUUUUUAUUAUUUAUUUUUGAGAGAGAGAGGCAGCGUAU
rnacentral:snRNA from 1 species